rnacentral:sRNA from 1 species
UUUCUUCUUCUUCUGCU